AAGUCGUAACAAGGUUUCCGUAGGUGAACCUGCGGAAGGAUCAUUAACACGUAUCCAAACGUUAAAACCCCCCCCGUGAACCUUCAUCCUGCUCUUGUAACCCGCGUAGUUCGCAAUCUCUGAUAAAUCAUAGCCCGGAAAGUUGUAGUGAUUCAGAGACCUCUGGCUACGUGCGAACAUUGGAACAGUUACAAUCGAGCGGUAGUUCUAUAGGCAAUGUUUCCCCAAGCAGUCCUUCUACGAUUCCUGGUACACUCGGGCAGGAGCUUUGCCAAAGGGUCCCCAUGCCCCCUAAUAACCCCACAGUUUAAUGUGAAGCUCAAUGUAAUACAUUGGGUAAAAAAACCGAACAACUGUUAACAAUGGAUAUCUUGGUUCUC
rnacentral:misc_RNA from 1 species